rnacentral:rRNA from 1 species
AUUCUGUAGUUGGUGGUGAUUAGCUUCGGCUAUGAAUCGUUGGCCAUGGGAUAAUUCUAGUGGCAAACGGGUGAGUAAUACGUGAACAACCAUCCCUCGAGAGAGAAACAACUUCGGGAAACCGGGGCUAAUGUCUCAUAUUGCUCGGAGAAGAUAACUUUUCCGGAUGAAAGGGUUACUUUGUAAUCGCUCGAGGACGGGUUCGCGUCCCAUCAGUUAGUUGGUAGGGUAAUGGCCUACCAAGACUUAGACGGGUAGCUGGUUUGAAAGAACGACCAGCCACAGUGGCACUGCGACACGGGCCACACUCCUACGGGAGGCAGCAGUGGGGAAUAUUGGACAAUGGGCGAAAGCCUGAUCCAGCGACACCGCGUGGAGGAUGAAGGUCUUCGGAUUGUAAACUCCUUUUAGGGAAGAUGAAAGGCCGGGUAACCGGAGCUGACAGUACUCCCAGAAAAAGUCACGGCUAACUACGUGCCAGCAGCCGCGGUAAUACGUAGGUGGCAAGCGUUACUCGGAAUCACUAGGCGUAAAGCGCAGGUAGGUUGUUUGAUAAGUCGGAAGUGAAAGCUCCAACAAAAUUGGAGAGGUCUUCCGAUACUGUCUGACUUGAGUGUAGCAUGGGGAACCGGAAUUCCUGGUGUAGCGGUGAAAUGCGUAAAUAUCAGGAGGAACACCGAUGGCGAAAGCGGGUUCCUGGGUUAUUACUGACACUGAGCUGCGAAGAUGUGGGAGCAAACAGGAUUAGAUACCCUGGUAGUCCACAUAGUAAACGAUGGAAACUAGAUAUGGGAGGUAUCGACCCCUUCCGUGUCGUAGCUAACGCGUUAAGUUUCCCGCCUGGGGAGUACGGCCGCAAGGCUGAAACUCAAAAGAAUUGACGGGGGCUCGCACAAGCGGUGGAGUAUGUGGUUCAAUUCGACGCAACGCGAAGAACCUUACCUGGGCUUGAAGAGCUGGUUGUACCCUCUCGAAAGAAUAGGGGACCCGCAAGGGAGCCAGCAGAGGUGCUGCAUGGUUGUCGUCAGCUCGUGUCGUGAGAUGUAUGGUUAAGUCCCAAAACGAGCGCAACCCUUGUCUCAUGUUGCUAACUACGAUUCGUCGGAGAGCACUCUUGAGAGACUGCUCCGGUUAACGGAGAGGAAGGUGGGGAUGACGUCAAAUCAUCAUGGCCUUUAUGUCCAGGGCUACACACGUACUACAAUGGCUACUACAGAGGGAAACCAACUCGCAAGAGGGAGUAAACCCCAAAAAAGUAGUCCCAGUUCAGAUUGAGGGCUGCAACUCGCCCUCAUGAAGGCGGAAUCGCUAGUAAUCGCUAAUCAGCAGGUAGCGGUGAAUACGUUCCCGGGCCUUGUACACACCGCCCGUCACACCAUGGAAGCUGAUUGUAACCGAAUCCUGAUUUAUAACCGGGAGAAGUUAUGAUUAGUGACUGGGGUGAAGUCGUAACAAGGUAGGCGUACGGGCGUG